CUCACUUUCCAACGCUGUAUAUUCAAUUGCUCAACUCCGAGUCUUAUGAAAACUUUUGGAGAUAAGCACAUAAUUAUAAUCUUUACCAUCAACUGAAUUUCGAAGUUUGGACGACUUGAUAACAUGCCCAAAUGCUGUUUUGAAAAUUUCCCUUCAUUGAAGUCAUCAAAAGCCCGACUCAUUAUCCUCAAUAUUUCUUUCAAAAUUUAACUAUACAGGCCAAACAAGCAUUCGUACGAUACACUAGUUACUACUUCGUCGUUACAGUGCAAAAACAUCCUCAAGAAUUUCGUAAUUAAUGAAAAAACAGCAAAAAUACAACAGCA